rnacentral:misc_RNA from 1 species
AACAGCUAGUAGGAAUGAAGGAAAUGUUAUUUCCCAUUCUUGCUGGAAUCUUAUCAGCACUUCGGAGGGUGAUCGCAAGAAGGGUCUCACUUAAGAACCAACUGAAGAGGCGACUCCAUGCCAUAACCCUUACUUCUGCGACAUGCUUUUUGUUUCCUGUUGCCAUGUGGGACAUGAUUAUAGGAUCUAACAAUGUAGAGCUGCCCUUUUCUGCCUGGGCUUUUUCAAG